rnacentral:rRNA from 1 species
UACGAAGGGGGCUAGCGUUGCUCGGAAUUACUGGGCGUAAAGUGUGCGCAGGCGGCCGCGCAAGUCGAGUGUGAAAGCCCCGGGCUUAACUUGGGAAUUGCGCUCGAAACUACGUGACUGGAGUGUGGCAGAGGAAGGUGGAAUUCCACGUGUAGCGGUGAAAUGCGUAGAGAUGUGGAGGAACACCAAUGGCGAAGGCAGCCUUCUGGGCCAACACUGACGCUCAUGCACGAAAGCGUGGGGAGCAAACAGG